rnacentral:lncRNA from 10 species
CCUCAACGUAUUAUCUUUGAGAUUCAUCCAAGUUAUCACAUGUAUCGGUAGUUAAUUCAUUUUUUCUGCUUUGGUUGACUCAUUUUGCAUUGUAUAAAUAUACCACAAUUUGUUUAUCCAUUUUCCUUUUAAUGGACAUCAUGUUGCUUUUAGUUUUUGGCUAUUGUGAAUAAAGCUGCAAAGAACAAUCUUGUACAAGUUACUUGGUGGACAUAUGUUUUCAUUUCUUUUGGGUGAACACCAAGGAGAGGAAUUGCAAGAUCGUUCUAUUAUUGGCCAUGUCAAUUGGAGCAACCAUUUGGAAAGUCAUUUGGCAACAUCUCCCAAAGCUGAAUAUACAUGAAGCCUAGGAGCCAGGAAUUCCACUUCCAGGAUAUGCCCAAUAGAAAUGAAUACAUAUGUUCACCAAAAGGCGUGUCCUAGAAUGUUUAUAAUUGUGAACAGACCAAAGCUAGAAACUAUCCAAGUGUCCAUCAACAAUGGAGUGGGAAAUAAAAUGUCUCUUCGUACAAUGGAAUCUACAUAGCAAUGAGAACAAAGAACUUACAAAAGUACACAGCAACAUGGAUGAAAUUCACAAGCAUAAUUCCGAACAAAAAAUGCCAUGUACCAAAAAGCUUAUAGCAUAUGACUCCAUUUAUGUACAGUAGAAAAACAGGCAAAACAGCUAGCCUGUUAGAAGUCAGAAUGGUGGUUACCCUUUGAGGGGCUGUUCCUAGAUGGGGACUCAUGGGGUAAUGUUCAUUCCAUGUCUUGAACUGUGCACUGAUUACACUGGUGUGUUUAGCUUGUGAAAUGUAUCCACCUAUACACUUAUGUGGUUUUCUGUAUGUACAUUAUAUUUCAAUAACAUUUUAAGAAAGUGUUUUGCCACUUAUUAGUUCAUUUGACCCACACAACAGUUCUAGGAGAUAAGAAGGCCAGGUAACUUUUCUUCAGAUUUAUAGAAAGAAAACAGACUCAAAGUUUGGUCCAAGGUCUCAGUGCUAAUUGGUGGUGGAAUCAGGUUAGGUAUGUCAACCUCCUGGGCCAAGAAAGAUAGUCUCUGUUGGAGCACCUUGCACAGUGCUUGAUGCAUAGUAGGUGCUCAAUAAAUUUCAUCUGAAGCUGGAUCAUAGAAUGGUGGCCUUCUAAUCCCACAAGGCUGUUAUCCUGCUGUGGGAGUAACCAUCUUCUCUGGUGGUCUAAUGUCCCUUAUAGAAUGUGCGUAUUCUCUCCUAAGAGAAGAGUGGAGAUGAGGCCUGAGUCAAAUAUCCUAAGAAGCUGCCAAAAUACCUGUGGAGAAUUGCAUAACCUUGUCCCUCUAGGGCUUAGAAAAGAAUGAGUCAGACAGUCAGUUCUCAGACACGGUGCCCAGGAAAACAGGAAGAAGGUUCACUUAGGCAGAAAUCCAUGUAUGUGACCUUGGAUACAUCACUGAACUUCUUCAGGGGCAACAAUUUGAAAGACACAUUUGAGACACUCUGCCUAGGAUGACGUGAUCCUUCUGUAGCUGAUCUUCUGAGACCCGUGAAUUUUAUGUACUAUUUUCUAAUUAUAUUCUCAUUAUUUUCAAGGGCAUCAGACUGCAUUUCAAACUUGACAAUUCCUUUGCUAUAAUUUCAGCUCAAAUUUUGACUAAUUUAUACUUUAAAUACAAAUAUGCCCCAUUUUCUGCUUGUCAUCAUAGUUCAGAAAGAAGUUAUACCGACCAUGUUAUAUAAAGUAAUGAGGGGUCCUAUUCAGCUUGUUAACCAUGUUUCUUAAAAAAAAAAAGUACAAUAGAACUUUCUUUGUCAAUAUAAAAUUCGAGUUAUUUAUGAUGUGGCUAAAGAUAUGAUAAGAAGUCUCAGGAAUGGAAUCUGUUAUUGCUUGGAAAAUAAAAUCUCAAGACCUUCUUUGGAAAAAAAUGGAGAGUGAUAAAAUGCUUUCAUUUAGGGCUUGGCUGUGAUGUCAAGGUCAGCCAAUGAGCUUAGAGGGAAUCUGAGAAAAAUAAAGAGAAAAAUAGAAACAGAUGUCUGGAAAAUCUUCUUGAAUAUUGCUGGUGAAAUUGUAUGGUUAGAAGACAAAAUUUCAGUGUUACAUCCAUCAUCCUAAAAAGGUUAUAAUGAAAGCCAUUUAAAUUGGUGUUCAAAAACCUUGUGAGAACUUUGGUUGACUGUAUUCCACCAUGAAGUGCGUUUUGAUCUGAAGUCUUGGUUAGGGUAUUCCUCCAAUAGGUCAGCUGCCAUGGGCCUCCUAUUAAGUCAAAGUCUCUAUUUCAAAUUAGCAUAAGAGAGAACGCUGAUGAAAAGGGGAAUAAGAAUAAAGCUAAAUAAUUGUUUUGGCUUCUGAUUGAUCAGCAUCUAUGUUCUCAGAAGCAAGUUUCUUUUUGCCUCUAGUUGCUGCUGAUGGUAGGAAACAGAAAAAUACCUGUCUUAAAAAGUUGCCGAAGAUGGUCAGUUGAAAGGGUUGAAGAGCCUAACAGAGGAAAUAGAUCACCAAUAAUGGAGCUAAAAAGGAAUGAAAGUAGACAGCUUAGAGAUAGGACCCUUGGAGACACUCAGAUGGAAGGGUUGUCAAAAGGCUAAGCAUAAAAGACCAGGAAGAGCUAUAAUUCUAAUUAAGGUUCAGGAUGGUUUAAAAAGGAAAAUAAUCAAGAUUGGUAAGAAGAGUUUAAACUUAUAGUAGUGAUAAUGAUUUGACAGUUUGUUCUAGAAUGUCUAUCUAUUUUACUGAUUAGUUUUCAAGAGUGCUGUAAUUCAUACUAAGAAAAGUAGAGAAAGCUGAUUAUUUCUAACUCAGUACUACAAAGGUUUGACUUAAUUCUGUUAAAUUCCUGGCUUACUGCUAAUUGUAUGACCUUGGAUAAAUUACUUCACCCCUCCAAGCCUCACUGUCUUCAUCUGUAAAAUGGAGAAAUAGUAGCACCUACUUCAUGACAUCACUUUGAGGCCUCCAUGGUGGAUAUGAAUUGCUUAUUCCAGAGCUUAGAUUAUAUUAAAAGAAUACUACAUGGUUUUUGUUGAUGGUGGUAAUGAUGAUGUCCUUGAAUAUCUUUAAAUUGAGGUGCUCAUCUCUACCUUGUCUUUCAAAAGAUUCGAAGUGUCUUAAGUCCCAAAUAAUAAAUAAAAUUUUAUUUCUUUUUAUUUCUUGUUUAUAUCUCACCUCC